GCCAAAUAUGGAGAGUACGAUAGAUGCAGCAGAAGUUCAUUGCCUAAAUCGAUCAGUUUAGCCGUGGCAACAGCGUAGGUGUGAGCCGAUUUUCAUUUUUUUGCUGGCAUCAACGUUUGGUGGUACGAGCCGGGCGCAUGUGGCGACAAGCCGCGUAAUUGAAGAUGUGACGAAAAUGAGCGACCAAUUGGGCAACACCGGCAACACUCUACUCCACCCUCCUAAGUACCUGGUAGAAGAGCAGCAAUUUGUAC